rnacentral:rRNA from 1 species
GUCGAGCGGAAACGAGUUAUCUGAACCUUCGGGGAACGAUAACGGCGUCGAGCGGCGGACGGGUGAGUAAUGCCUAGGAAAUUGCCCUGAUGUGGGGGAUAACCAUUGGAAACGAUGGCUAAUACCGCAUGAUGCCUACGGGCCAAAGAGGGGGACCUUCGGGCCUCUCGCGUCAGGAUAUGCCUAGGUGGGAUUAGCUAGUUGGUGAGGUAAGGGCUCACCAAGGCGACGAUCCCUAGCUGGUCUGAGAGGAUGAUCAGCCACACUGGAACUGAGACACGGUCCAGACUCCUACGGGAGGCAGCAGUGGGGAAUAUUGCACAAUGGGCGCAAGCCUGAUGCAGCCAUGCCGCGUGUGUGAAGAAGGCCUUCGGGUUGUAAAGCACUUUCAGUCGUGAGGAAGGUAGUGUAGUUAAUAGCUGCAUUAUUUGACGUUAGCGACAGAAGAAGCACCGGCUAACUCCGUGCCAGCAGCCGCGGUAAUACGGAGGGUGCGAGCGUUAAUCGGAAUUACUGGGCGUAAAGCGCAUGCAGGUGGUUUGUUAAGUCAGAUGUGAAAGCCCGGGGCUCAACCUCGGAAUUGCAUUUGAAACUGGCAGACUAGAGUACUGUAGAGGGGGGUAGAAUUUCAGGUGUAGCGGUGAAAUGCGUAGAGAUCUGAAGGAAUACCGGUGGCGAAGGCGGCCCCCUGGACAGAUACUGACACUCAGAUGCGAAAGCGUGGGGAGCAAACAGGAUUAGAUACCCUGGUAGUCCACGCCGUAAACGAUGUCUACUUGGAGGUUGUGGCCUUGAGCCGUGGCUUUCGGAGCUAACGCGUUAAGUAGACCGCCUGGGGAGUACGGUCGCAAGAUUAAAACUCAAAUGAAUUGACGGGGGCCCGCACAAGCGGUGGAGCAUGUGGUUUAAUUCGAUGCAACGCGAAGAACCUUACCUACUCUUGACAUCCAGAGAACUUUCCAGAGAUGGAUUGGUGCCUUCGGGAACUCUGAGACAGGUGCUGCAUGGCUGUCGUCAGCUCGUGUUGUGAAAUGUUGGGUUAAGUCCCGCAACGAGCGCAACCCUUAUCCUUGUUUGCCAGCGAGUAAUGUCGGGAACUCCAGGGAGACUGCCGGUGAUAAACCGGAGGAAGGUGGGGACGACGUCAAGUCAUCAUGGCCCUUACGAGUAGGGCUACACACGUGCUACAAUGGCGCAUACAGAGGGCAGCCAACUUGCGAAAGUGAGCGAAUCCCAAAAAGUGCGUCGUAGUCCGGAUUGGAGUCUGCAACUCGACUCCAUGAAGUCGGAAUCGCUAGUAAUCGUGGAUCAGAAUGCCACGGUGAAUACGUUCCCGGGCCUUGUACACACCGCCCGUCACACCAUGGGAGUGGGCUGCAAAAGAAGUAGGUAGUUUAACCUUCGGGGGGACGCUUA